UUCGUUGUCAGAACUUGGGAGAUGGGCGAAAGACUAAUCGAACCAUCUAGUAGCUGGUUCCCUCCGAAGUUUC
rnacentral:rRNA from 13 species